GGAUAACUUACCCUUAGGACUGGGAUAACUCUGGGAAACUGGGGAUAAUACUGGAUAUUUGGCUAUGCCUGGAAUGGUUUGCCUUUGAAAUGUUUUCUUUUUCGCCUAAGGAUAGAUCUGCGGCUGAUUAGGUCGUUGGUGGGGUAAUGGCCCACCAAGCCGAUGAUCGGUACGGGUUGUGAGAGCAAGAGCCCGGAGAUGGAACCUGAGACAAGGUUCCAGACCCUACGGGGUGCAGCAGGCGCGAAACCUCCGCAAUGUACGAAAGUGCGACGGGGGGAUCCCAAGUGUUAUGCUUUUUUUGUAUAACUUUUCAUUAGUGUAAAAAGCUUUUAGAAUAAGAGCUGGGCAAGACCGGUGCCAGCCGCCGCGGUAACACCGGCAGCUCGAGUGGUAGCUGUUUUUAUUGGGCCUAAAGCGUUCGUAGCCGGUUUGAUAAGUCUUUGGUGAAAGCUUGUAGCUUAACUAUAAGAAUUGCUGGAGAUACUAUUAGACUUGAAGUCGGGAGAGGUUAGAGGUACUACCGGGGUAGGGGUGAAAUCCUAUAAUCCUGGGAGGACCACCUGUGGCGAAGGCGUCUAACUGGAACGAUCUUGACGGUGAGUAACGAAAGCCAGGGGCGCGAACCGGAUUAGAUACCCGGGUAGUCCUGGCCGUAAACGAUGUAGACUUGGUGUUGGAAUGGCUUUGGGUUGUUCCGGUGCCGAAGGGAAGCUGUUAAGUCUACCGCCUGGGAAG
rnacentral:rRNA from 1 species